GCCGGGCGCGGUGGCUCAAGCCUGUAAUCCCAGCACUUUGGGAGGCCGAGACGGGCGGAUCACGAGGUCAGGAGAUCGAGACCAUCCUGGCUAACACGGUGAAACCCCGUCUCUACUAAAUAUUACAAAACACUAGCCGGGCGAUGUUGCGGGUGCCUGUAGUCCCAGCUACUCGGNNNNNNNNNNCCGAGUAGCUGGGACUACAGGCACCCGCAACAUCGCCCGGCUAGUUUUUUUUGUAAUAUUUAGUAGAGACGGGGUUUCACCGUGUUAGCCAGGAUGGUCUCGAUCUCCUGACCUCGUGAUCCACCCGUCUCCG
rfam:Chlorocebus sabaeus isolate 1994-021 chromosome 5, whole genome shotgun sequence.